AUUGAACGCUGGCGGCAGGCCUAACACAUGCCAGUCGAGCGGAUGAAGGGAGCUUGCUCCUGGAUUCAGCGGCGGACGGGUGAGUAAUGCCUAGGAAUCUGCCUGGUAGUGGGGGAUAACGUCCGGAAACGGGCGCUAAUACCGCAUACGUCCUGAGGGAGAAAGUGGGGGAUCUUCGGACCUCACGCUAUCAGAUGAGCCUAGGUCGGAUUAGCUAGUUGGUGGGGUAAAGGCCUACCAAGGCGACGAUCCGUAACUGGUCUGAGAGGAUGAUCAGUCACACUGGAACUGAGACACGGUCCAGACUCCUACGGGAGGCAGAAGUGGGGAAUAUUGGACAAUGGGCGAAAGCCUGAUCCAGCCAUGCCGCGUGUGUGAAGAAGGUCUUCGGAUUGUAAAGCACUUUAAGUUGGGAGGAAGGGCAGUAAGUUAAUACCUUGCUGUUUUGACGUUACCAACAGAAUAAGCACCGGCUAACUUCGUG
rnacentral:rRNA from 1 species